rnacentral:lncRNA from 1 species
CUACAACAACAAGAUAUUACCCCCUGAAACCAACCUACCUUAUUGAAGAGAUGACAUCUCAGAAUUGUAUCCGAGAUGAUCCCCCUUGCUGCCACGAAUCCACAGCUUAUGACGGUGCAUCGUUUGGAGUUCAAAUAGUCGUGUUAUGCUCCAAUUACUCAUUUGGUAAAAUGCUGAAACUGUCAGGGACAGAACCGUGUUUUUAUUGUCCUGCUGGGAAAAUUACCGCAGCAGUCCCUGACAACAGCUAAUUCCAGAUCAGUAAUCCAACUCUCAGAAAGUACAAUUCAAUCUCUAAACUUACAGAAACCACAAACCAGGCACUUAUCUUUCAGAAAUGGCAGAAUGCUCACCAAACUUUCAACUCUUGCACUUCGACCACUUGUCUUCUCCAGGGAGCACCAUCGCCGCCGACGAGCCUUCCCAGAAUCUGUCGAGCUCCUAACUUCAUGGAAUCACAGAUUUUUGUAACCGUUUCCUCUCUCUUCGCUACCGGCAACAGCGGGACGGUUGCCAAUGUUGCCUCCCUCUCCCACGCGCUCGACGUCGCCACUAUAGUCAUGGAUCUCCAGCGCCGUCACAGCUCCUCUUACUUUCGCCUGCUUGAUCCUCUCUCGAUCACAAACAACGUCAACAUCCAUCUUCUUCUUCUCGAACUCCCCUCGAUCGAUCCCUUGAUGCCGGCUCUCCUACCUUCUUGUAUCGCACACCCAAAUCCAUCAU